rnacentral:piRNA from 1 species
UUCAGCAACAUUGGUGAAAGA